rnacentral:rRNA from 1 species
CCCGCGUGUGCGAUGAAGGCCUUCGGGUUGUAAAGCACUUUUGGCAGGAAAGAAACGUCAUGGGUUAAUACCCCGCGAAACUGACGGUACCUGCAGAAUAAGCACCGGCUAACUACGUGCCAGCAGCCGCGGUAAUACGUAGGGUGCAAGCGUUAAUCGGAAUUACUGGGCGUAAAGCGUGCGCAGGCGGUUCGGAAAGAAAGAUGUGAAAUCCCAGAGCUUAACUUUGGAACUGCAUUUUUAACUACCGGGCUAGAGUGUGUCAGAGGGAGGUGGAAUUCCGCGUGUAGCAGUGAAAUGCGUAGAUAUGCGGAGGAACACCGAUGGCGAAGGCAGCCUCCUGGGAUAACACUGACGCUCAUGCACGAAAGCGUGGGGAGCAAACA